GGAGACCCUGAGGUGAUCAAAACACCGCUACCUACUGAGAAACCUCUCAUGAACAGAACGACUUUAAUGCUUCAACAGAACGAGCAGGAGGGCCUCAGGCAGCGGACACCUCCUGCUGACAAGAUGAUCAACUUCAAACAACAAGCUUCAUCUCGGACACCACA